rnacentral:rRNA from 6 species
UGCAGAAUCCCGUGAACCAUCGAGUUUUUGAACGCAAGUUGCGCCCGAAGCCUUCCGGCUGAGGGCACGUCUGCCUGGGCGUCACGC